rnacentral:rRNA from 1 species
UACGUAGGUGGCAAGCGUUGUCCGGAUUUAUUGGGUUUAAAGGGUGCGUAGGCGGCCUUGUAAGUCAGUGGUGAAAUACUCCAGCUUAACUGGAGGGGUGCCAAUGAUACUGCAGGGCUUGAGUACAGAUGAGGUAGGCGGAAUUGACGGUGUAGCGGUGAAAUGCAUAGAUAUCGUCAAGAACACCGAUAGCGAAGGCAGCUUACUGGGCUGUAACUGACGCUGAGGCACGAAAAGUGUGGGGGAUCAAAACAGG